UGCCAGACUCCUACGGGAGGCAGCAGUGGGGGAUAUUGCACAAUGGGGGAAACCCUGAUGCAGCGACGCCGCGUGGGCGAAGAAGUAUUUCGGUAUGUAAAGCCCUAUCAGCAGGGAAGAAGAAAUGACGGUACCUGAGUAAGAAGCACCGGCUAAAUACGUGCCAGCAGCCGCGGUAAUACGUAUGGUGCAAGCGUUAUCCGGAUUUACUGGGUGUAAAGGGAGCGCAGGCGGCACGGCAAGCCUGAUGUGAAAGCCCGCGGCCCAACCGCGGGACUGCAUUGGGAACUACCGGGCUGGAGUGCCGGAGAGGUAGGCGGAAUUCCUGGUGUAGCGGUGAAAUGCGUAGAUAUCAGGAGGAACACCGGCGGCGAAGGCGGCCUGCUGGACCGCGACUGACGUUGAGGCUCGAAGGCGUGGGGAGCGAACAGGAUUAGAUACCCGAGUA
rnacentral:rRNA from 1 species